rnacentral:tRNA from 1 species
UUCCAGGGAUGGGAAACGAACCCACAGUGUUCCGCUUACCGGACAGAUGCCAUGUCCACUAGGCUACUGUGGA